AUGGGUUUGCUGAAAGUGCUUAUGCGGUACAUUGGGAUCCAGAUCGUGCCCCUUCAAAAGACAAGGGUUUUGGUGAAAGUGCGUAUGCAGUACAUUGGGAUCCAGAUCAUGCACCAUCAAAAGACAAGGGUUUCGGUGAAAGUGCUUAUGCAGUACAUUGGGAUCCAGAUCAAGCACCUUCAAAAGAAAAUGGUUUUGGUGCAAGUGCUUAUGCGGUACAUUGGGAUCCAGAUCACUCACCUUCAAAAGAAAAUGGUUUUGAUGCAAGUUCUUAUGCGGUACAUUGGGAUCCAGAUCAUGCUCCUUCUCAACAAAACGGUUUUGGUGAGGGUGCUUAUGCGGUGCACUGGGAUCCAGAUCAUUCACCUUCAAAAGGAAAUGGGUUUGGUGAAAGUGCUUAUGCGGUGCAUUGGGAUCCAGAUCGUGCCCCUUCAAAAGACAGGGGUUUUGGUGAAAGUGCUUAUGCGGUACACUGGGAUCCAGAUCAUGCCCUUUCAGAAGAAAAUGGGUUUGGUGCAAGUGCUUAUGCGGUACAUUGGGAUCCAGAUCACUCACCUUCAAAAGUAA
rnacentral:rRNA from 1 species